rnacentral:misc_RNA from 1 species
GUUUGGAACGAGUGGAUGAAACAACCAAAAUUCAGUUCCGAGUCGGAGUGUAUAGGUCUCUGCCUGCUUCGAACUUGCUCAAAUUCAAAAGGUAACUAAUUUGAUUUGAUUGUGCCUCUCUCUCCCGAUUGCACAUUAGCUUAAUCAAUUACGUUCCUAGUCUCCGUUUUCUUGGAUUUUGUGUCCGUAUAUGUUGUUUAUCUAGGGUUUACAUCGAAACCCAAUCUUAAUUGCUUGCUGAAUAUUAAGUAUUCGCGAUGUGAUCUGCGUGUUUGUUGGAAUCGCGAGAGAGGGUGAGAUAGUGACUGUUAUGAUUUUGAUUAUUGGAGAAGCAGUGUUUGAUUUGUUGAAGAUGUUUUCAUAUGGAUUUUGGGCGUUUGCUUCUGUUAGGCGUUGCAUAAUCGUGUGCGUUUUCUUUUCUUUUGAAGUGUUUUCGCCCUGUUGGGUUUUUCUGUUAGCCUUUUUGUAAGUGGUUUCAGUCGCUCUCUUACUAUUGAAAUGAAACUUUCUUUUUGUUAUUUUAAGCAUUUUGAGCUAUUGAUUUUGAAUGCAAGAUAUCUCCCUCCCUCUCUUUCCUUGGUAAUGCGUGGUAAUGGGAAAUUACUUUUACAGUGGAUAGAGUGAUAACAUAUUUUAUUUAUGUAUUUAUUUUGGAUAGAAUAGCUCCUUAAUUUGUGUUCCAGGGCCUUAAUCUCAUAAAUGAUUAAAUUGAUGCAUUAAAAUAUAAUGCAAAUUCAUGUCUAAAUGUUUAAAUAAUGCCAGUGCAUUGUAAUUUGCAUUCUAGUUAUUUGUAUGCUUUAAUUCUUGCCAUUUUAGACUGGGCUUUCAAUUUUUCUCAAUGAAAGAAUUGGAUUAAUGCAACGAAACAAGGUUGAUUUAUUUGCUUUCUGUAAUUGGGAUAUUUCUUGUCAAAAGCAUUUUCAUUUUGAAGGGACUAAUGUGCAAGUGCUAACUUCUUUUUUUUAUUAUUUUUUGAUUAUGGAGUACCCAGUUAGAAGACAGUAUGGAUCCAUCAGAACUA